GCAAUGAACUAUGUCUGGGCAGGGCAAAGCCAGAGGAAACUGGUGGAGGUCUGUAGUGGUCCUGACAUGCAAAUAGGUCAUCCGACCUGGGUCCAGGGGUGAAAGACUAAUCAAACUAUCUAAUAGCU
rnacentral:ncRNA from 1 species